CUUUUUUCUUUCUUUCGACUUACAAAUCGGCCAUGGCUUCAACAAAAAUCAUUGGAGUCUCUUCGUUUUAUUUUGAAUACCCUAAAUCUUGAAUUUAAAACAGCAGCUGAAAACUUUUUUUCUUAAAUUCUUUUCCGUUUACAGAAACCUAAUGUGAUAAAUUGAUUUUCAUCUGAAACUUUACUUAUUCUAAUUUUUUUUUGCUGUACGUUGUAGAAAAAGAUGAUGAUGAGGAGUUUCAAGAGAAACUUUCUCUCUGAUUUUGGGGUGGUAAUGGUUUAGUUAUUUCUGUCUCUUGAGGAAUUUUUUUAAAUACUUCCAGUUUCAGAUACGGCUUCUUUAAGAUAUAUAUUCAGGUAAAUCAAUAAAUCAUUAUUUGUGAUUUUAAUUUCAGACACCUCUUAGUUUGAAUCUCAAUUCUUCUUUCAAUUUUAUCACCAUUUUUGGAUUUUGGCUUGUUUGCUUUAGAAGAUUGUUGAUAUAUCUCUUUUUCUUUCAACCCGGAUUGUAUUCCCCUCUUUCAACUGAUUAUUGAUAUCAUCACAAGCAAAGAGGAACUUUUGAUUUUUGGGCACAGCCCAACCUAGUUCUGACUGAAUAGUUGGAUUGUGAAAAGAUAGAGGUGGCAAGCAAUUAAUCAUGCUAGGCUGAAUCUCAGUACAAUUUCUUACUUUUAUGUACCUGAAACACCUAUCUCAAGGUUGGGAAAGGAGCAACUACAGAUGCAAAAGCAAGGAAAUUAGCUUUCCAACAUUGGAUUGAAACUGUGCGUGAACGUGCUGUUGACCAACCCUAUACGGGUAGUUGUUACUCGUAUGCAGGCCGGACGUUGGAAAUGGCAGAUGCUUUGAUCUCACAGAUUGUCCCAGAUCCAAGCUUCGACAACAAUGCAUCAAGUAUUUCGGUCUUGUAUUUUUUGGAAAUAAACGUUGUUGGAAAAUUCCGCUCGAAAAGUUGAUUUUGACACCCGGA